CCAUCACGCAUAGUGCCCGAAUGUUUGAUGUUGCGUCUUCCCCUACGGCACCGCACCCUCUCUCCGACGCCAUGUCGUGCCGCGCCCGGACGUUCGAUGUCGUGCCCGCUCUGUGACGUCAUGCCGCGGUCGCCUCUUCGGUGUUGCGCCUCCUUUCCGACAGCAUGCCCAACCUUCACGCGUAGCGCCAACCCGUCCAGCAUCCCUCACCCAUUCGUUCGGCGUGAUGCCCCUUGCUCGCAUGUCCAUCGUGACCAGCGGGCUCACUGCGGGAAGCUUCAUCGUCGUUGCCUCGUGAAGCAGCAUCACCUCUUCGGGGCUCCUCCUCCCUCCAGCAUGGACACCAAACAAUAGCAGGGCAUGGACGACCUUCGACAAUGACGCGAGACACGAGCAACGAGCAACUCUGCUCCGGCAAGAUCUGUAUUGAUGCAAUUUGGAUCGACUUAGGUUGUUGACUAGAUGCUCUACUCCGU
rnacentral:lncRNA from 1 species